UCCAAAAGGUUAACAUUAGUAUGUGUGUGUGAGCAUUUGUAUGUACACGCUAGUGUGUGCAUGGUUAUAGUGUACAUGGGAACGAAGAGAACAGUUUUAAACAGUUCUCCUAUCUGUCUUUUCUUCAAAAAUGAUGAGUGAUGAAAGUGGUCAGAGGGUCUAUCAAGUAAGAGGAAAUGGAAUGGAAAACAAGCAGCCAGGAGUGGGCAGCCUGGGACAGAAAAAUACCCAGACGGAGCUGGUGCAAGUCCCCCCUGUGGUCGUCCACACACAAGCUGGUGUUGCCUUAAUGCAGACAGGGAUUUUACAUAAUCAGCCGCUUGUACAUACCAACAUUAAUGCACAUUCCCAAGUCCAAACACACUCGCAGAUCAGUGCCCACACUCAAACGCUGCAGAGUUUGGGACAUACUCCAACUCAUGUCCACGUUCAACCUCACACAACAAUACAACCACAAACUCACUUGCAGCAGGACAAUCAGAUCCAACAGCAAGCGAUUAUACAGCAGCAGCAGACACCAACACAACAUAAACUUGUACCACCACAGACCCAUACCACAUCACAGACACUUCCCCAGCCUCUCACAGAAGUGUCCCCACUAACCAGGGCUCACUUGGUGUACACACAACCACAGUUACAGGCAGAAUCUCAGAUUCAGACGCAGGAAAUCCACACCCAGCCACAGGUACACACCCACACCCAAAUCCACACGCACAGCCCAGUGCAGAUUCCACCUCAGAUCCACACCCAAGCUCAGCUUCACAUUCAGCCUCAGGUGCAUACAAACUCCCAAGUACAAGUCCAGUCUCUUACGCAUGCACAGCAGCAGCAUGUGGAAGCGCAGCCUCAGCUCUCCCACUCUCAGUGUUCACUACAGCCACAGCUGCCUUCUGCGGCCCAGACGCCAAUCAUGCAUACCAUUGGUGAUCUAGCAGAAGUACAGUUGCAGAGUUCAAAUCAGCAAGCAGCAAAGGGCAGUGAUAGUCUUAUUGCAGUACGUGUACCUGUGACACGACAACAUGAUUCGUCUGCUUUCAACGCACGCAACUUACAAACCACAAGCCUUGAACUCGGCCAGGUUCAAACUGCAAACUCACAAGCUCAGCUCAAUCAAACCCUCACAUCCCUCUCCCAGGAACUCAGUACGUCACUCAACCAGGCACAGAUAGUGGACGCCUUAGGAACAGAGAGGGUGUUUGUAGCAUCGAAAAAUAACAAUGUCCAGUCAGCAGUUACUCCUGGAUCUUCAGUUACUUCUGUGGGGAUUGAUGGCAUAUCUGUGAUGCGAUUGCAAGGAAAUUUCAAUAUUCGCCUUGAGGAUUCUUCCCUUCCCAUGAGGAAUUCACCAAAGACCUCAUCCACUACCGAAGUACCUAUUGUACAGCAGCUUGUAAAUUCAGAUAUAACAAGUCCCCAGCUAGAUACUUCCCAGCUUACAACUGCACCAAUUAGUAGUCUGCAUGUGAUUCCGCAGGGAAGUAUAGCACCCUCAGAAGUCAAAAAGAAUAAUGCACAGUUCAAUUCUUUGAUUAUGAACAACAAAUUAUUAAAUAAGAUGCUUGACACUAUCAAACCGCACAUUCCGUCCCAAGUAUCAAAAGCGGCAGAAAUUGCUCACCUUUUGCCAAACCCAACAAUUAGAACCACCACUGGACAGCGCAUAGAAGACCUAGAAGAUGGUUCAGUAAUGGCUUUCGCUGCAUCCAAUCGUGGCACCAGCCCACUGACUACGUCGGCAAACAACCCAGGUGCCAGCAUCUGCACAGUGACUGGGGCUUUGCAUGGCUCCAGUGGGUAUGGUGAUUCGGUAGAUAAAACCGCCACAGCUUUGCAACUAGAUAAUAUUGUAGGACUUUCAACAAACUUCCAGGUAAAUAAUAAUACUAUAAUUCUUCCUUCUUCUAUGGCUCAGGGACAGACAUCUCAACAAAGACAAUUUGAUAAUUUACAACAAGUUCUUGGCACUCAGGUUACAAAGCAAAUUGUUGAGCCACAGCUAGAUGAUUUAAAAGGCGACCAACUUAGGAUUUGGGCCACUACUGUACCAACUACACAAUUAAGCCAAGUAACAACAAGCAAUUCAUCAAAUAUCAGCUCUACUGGACAUUCAACUGCAGAAAAAAAUUUGAAGAGAACCAACCCACCAGCUGUGCAUCAAACUAAUGCAAACCUGAAGUCUUACAAUGUCAUGUGUGUACAAGAUGGGUUGAAUAAAACUGGAAUGCUUUUGGACAUGCCUGUUAGACCACAGGGAAGUGUUUGUACAAAAUCAGGCAUGAUUACAUCCAUAGACCCGAUGUUUCCCACAGUAGUUGUCACUUCAGGCAGUUCCUCCCCAACUUCACUUGGGACAUACGGGACCUCAAAAACAUCAGGCACCUCCCAGGAAGCUACAACUCGUGUGAGGUUAGCAGAUCUUUUGAAUCGAGGAUCAAGCGCUGACACUUUGUUGGGGGGUGGGAUGAGUCUGUCGUUGAUGGGAUUAUCAGAGGCUCGACUACCGCACACUGGUGAUGUACUCCUGUCAGAGUUACAUCGUAGUGAUGAGAGUGACCUGAGCCUCAGUGCCUCUCUGACUGGCUCUGCUGCUGAUGAGCUUCACAGCAGUGCAAGUGCUCUGGUAACAGAAGCUUCCCUAGGACCUGGCAUUGGAGGAGACACUGCACCGCUCCAAGGGUUGCCUUCUCCUCCACUUCCAAGUUUUAGCUUACCAAAUAUAACCUCUGAUUUUAUGGUUAGUGGAGUAUCUAAUAACAAAGCCUGCCCAUCUAACCAAGGUCCUCUCCCUGCUUUGCUCUCCAAUUUGGCUACAACUGCUGACCUUGACCAGUUUUUAGAAAAUUCCAACAUGUGCAUUGACAUGAAUAGUCUUUCAGAGUCUGAUGCCUCCUUAAGCACAGGUCCAGGUGCUUUUGUUUAUUCUCCAGAAAAGGCUGAUAGUUUAAAGAAGUCCUCCACAACUAGCUCCGCAGACCUUACCUUUACCAGUGCUCUGAAAGCUGCUACCAAUAAAUCUGAAAAUGAACAGCUGAAGUUAGGCUCAGAGUUAGAGUCUUCCAGUAGACUUCUACAGCAUCAGGACUCAGUAGUGCUAAUUGAAACCACAAAGUCCUCGACACCUGUGGCUCCCUCAAAAACUAGUGCUUCAGGGACAUUCAGUGGUCAGUUUUUGUCAUCGCAGGUAUCUUCAGGAACACAAAAAGCUCAGUCAAGCAGCACAAAGAAGUCUGAAGGUCAAGCCAAGAAUACAGGUCACAGUGAAAAGAGGAAGGAAAUAUUCAGAAAGAAUGAACUUCUCGUUCAACAAGUAGCUUGCUUCAAGUGUCGCUUGUGUUCCUGUUUGAGUCAGGACAGGAGCCUGAUGGUGAAACACAUGAAAGAAAUGCACAGCCAAUAUCUCUCAGAGUCUGAAGAAUCAGAGGAGGAGGUGGAAAGACCUGCAUCAAAGAGAGUGAAAGUCUUUGUGCCGCGGAGUGAGAGCAGCCAGUCUGAAGGCUCUCCGCCUCCCAACCCUCCAAUUAAAGCUAAAGAAAAGUCAAGUAAAAAGAAGCAGAAGGAACCUGUGGAUAAAGUUGAGAAUCCCAAAGCAACGCCAGGCAAAGGGAAGAAAAAGGUGAAAGUAGAAGAGGAGAGGCAAGCCAAUGGGACUAUAGGAGUAUUUAUAAAAGCCGAACCAAAAGAGGAUGAGGUAUUAGUUAAGAAGGAGUGUGAAAAGGAGACAGUGGAAGAUGAAGACCUUAAGUUAACAAUAGAUCUGGAGAACAGAGGAGAGAAUAGAAGCGACCAGGAUUACGAUGAUGAUGAUACCAAUGACAGCACCACGACAAAUGACAGCGGGAGUGUUAGCUCUGUGAAAACAUACCUCGGCAAAGGAGAGCAACCUUUGUACAACAAAAAUGCAGGUAUCAAAUUGAAAAGGAGUAAUUCCAAAGUUAGUCUGCCUGACAAGAGUCAUGGUAUCAAGUGCGAUGUGAAUGGCUGUAGUGUAAGGCUGAAGAGCGAGAGCAAUAUUGCCUAUCACCGGAAGUGUCAUGCAGAGAAUUCCAUGCAGUGCCAGGAGUGUCCUACAAAGUUCGGAACAUGGAGGGACUUGGCUCUUCACCUUUGGCGCCAUCACCUUAUUGACAUUGACUUACACAAGUGUGAUAAAUGUGACUACAAGUGUUAUAGCUACAGCAAACUGAUGAAUGUGCAUCAUAAGAUACACAGUGAUGAGAGACCGUCCCUGUGUGACACGUGUGGCAAGAGGUUCAAAACUACGAAACAAUUACGUAACCACAAGGCUCUCCACCUAAAAGUGCCACAGAUCUUGUGCGAGACAUGCCAGAGGCCGUUCACGGACAAGCGGAUGCUGCGGAAUCACAUUGAGUUCGUGCACAAAAAAGUGAAGCCAUUUUUAUGCAACUACUGUGGCUAUUCGACUGCCUCCAAGUCUACUCUCAAGAUGCACAUGAGGCAACACACAGGAGAAAAGCCCUUUGCCUGCGAGGAAUGUUCUUACAGGACGGCAGAUCACAACUCGUUACGGAGGCACAAGAUGCAGCACUCGGGAAUAAGGCCAUACCGCUGCCCGUACUGCGAAUAUGCCUCCAUCCAGUCCACCACAUUCAAGGUUCAUCUCAAGGACAAGCAUCCUGGCCUUGCUCAGAUGAAUGGUAUUAUGUUUACCUGUGUCGUGUGCCCAUUCAAGACUAUAAAACGAGACAAUUAUCUGGCACAUGUUGCUGAACACAGUAAGAACGACAACAAGAAGUUACGACAAAGCGUAAGCUCAACCACUACCACUACAACAGUUACAACCACUACGACCACCACUACUACUGCAACCAAACCUCCUUCACCAGAGACUAUUGUAAGUGACAUGACACCACCUCCGCCACAUGUAGUUAACAUUGAUGUCAACAGUGGCGCAGUAACCGUCGAGAGUCCGCAGGAAACAGAUUUUUUAUCUAAUGUCAGUGUGCCGGGUGGACUUCAGUUACCCAUACCAGGCCAGCUGAUUAUGGCCGGGGAUCAAUAUUUUUACGCAGCUCUGGAUUCGACAGUUUUAUCUCAGAUAUGUGAAUACUACAACCAAGAGUAAAAUGAUGAGGGGGAUAGGCGGCUGUAGGGGCAAGGCCAUUUUCAUUGCUCCUUUAUCUUGCCAAAACUGACUGGUAGGACACGAGCGGAGGGUGAUGAGCGCUGUUGAGGUACAAUCUAACGAAAGAGUACUGCGUCUGACUCCCUUGGUUGUAACAGUUCCAGUGACCUCAGAGGCAUCGAGUUCUCCCUCUCAACAGGAGCUGGUGUAUGUAGCCAGCACCAGUCAGGGAGGACAGUGAUGAUCUACUUUAGGGAAACAAAAAAAGAAACCUCUCCAACACAAGAACGGAAAGCUGGUUGCCUCUCGUCUCGACUGCACCUUAUGAAAGACGUCAAUUAUUAUCUGAAGAGAUUACGGGCUAAGGAGACCAGACCCUUCUUUGUUAGUUGGUAUUUCAAGGCGUGCCAUCGAGGUUGUAACCCCUCCACGUUCCUCUUCACUAAAAAGAAAGAAUAAGAUAAAUAUGAAGCCGUGAAGGAGAUACGACCAAUAUUAUGUUUGUACUGUUCUCUUGCCGACGGGAGAAGAGGGGUUUUCGUAUUUGCUGUUGCAGCAGCGUAUUCUGAUGUUUUUGUUUUCUUUUCCAUGGGAGUAAAUGUUUCUGUUAUAUUUUCAAUGUAAAUGGUGAUAGAAAUUUUUCCUUUGAUUGUAGAUUUUAGAGGACCAUUCCAAGUAUAUAUGUUGAAAAUGAUUAGUUUUAGUUAGAGUGCGGAUUGUAUUGUUAUUUAAUGACAGAAACUGAAUAGUAGGCCAAACCUAAUCGUAUGUAGAAUAUAUGGAAGAAGAAACAAUAUUCUGUGAUAGUAGUUGCAGUCUUAUUUGUUAAGAUAGUAUUUGAAAAAUACUGAAUGAUGUAGCAAUAUUCCUGGGUUUUUGAGUUUCACAUCUAUCUACGCUAUCACCCCUUAGUAAUUACCUUCUAUGUGUACUAUUCUUUAAACUGUUCUCAUGUGUAUGGCAACUCUGUCAUUGUAUUCUCGUUGUGGUUUCAUUCGCUGUCAUGGUGGUUACUGUGUAACAACAGUUUGAAAAAGACGAAAGUAGGAAAAAAAAAAAAAUCAAAGAGCAGACAAUUUAUGUGAGGUAAUGUAACAGCUGGAUUAUAACCUCUUUAAUGUAUUAUUUAUUUGUGAAUGCACAGUAAACCCUCAUUUUGCUGCAUGUUUUUCCAUAAAAAAUUAAGUGGAGAAAAUACUUCAGAUAUAUAAUUAUAUGAAAUUAAGAGAAAUUGAGAGCCACUCACUGCAGAGCUAGAAUGAAGGAGUUGAGUGCAUAUAUGUUUAUGUGCCAAGCUCAGUAGCGUCGUUACCUUUCCAGAUCUCAUCUGUGUCUGAUGUUGGCUCUUGCUUGUACUCAUGUUCUCUCCAUGUUCUAGUGCUUUUGUGCUUGUUUGCCAACUUAGGGCCAAUGUUUUGUGCUUAUUAUACAAGUGAUGAUAAUAUUCCAAAGUGGUAGCAAGAAGUGGUAUCACUAACAAUUUUUUUUUAAAGUGUGUUGCAUUACAUGACAGACAAGCAUAGUAUUGAGAUGAUUACGUGACAGAUAAGCACAUUUUCUAGAUGGAGAUAUGCAUGUCAAAGUAUUUAUUGAUGUUAUACACAAGUAUUUUCUGAUGAUUAGCAUUGUGUAGCAUAUAUGCAAAUUUCAUGCAACUACAGUUUCUUUUUUAGAAUUUAACCUCAAUGCAAAAAUGAGGGCUUACUGUAUUUUUCUCACUUAUUUAUUUAUCUAUUUAUUUUUCUUGAGUGUCUGUUCAAUUUCCUUCUGCAGAAAUGUUUUUCUGUUACCUCUAGUAACAUGGGUGUGACUAAAAGCUUCUGUGUAAAGAUUGAGCACUGAGAACCGUUUAUCGUCCAGGUGUCGCUGGUGGUAAAUGAUGUUCAAUUUCUGUCCUGGGGUAGAACGAUUAUUUUGUCGUAUUGCGUUUCGGUUUGGUUGGCUCUUUCUGCCUUAUUUAGAAGAUUCUAAGGAAAGGAGUUUUUGUCAUCUUAAGUUCUUAUGAAACAAGAAUCACACAUUUUAAGUCUUUCAUAGAGGUACAAGAUACAUUUAUCUCCGCAUAGUUUUUGGAACUUUGUAAUUGUCUUUAUGGAUAUACAGUACUGAUAUUCUUCUUUUCUCUGCUUUGUUUUAGAAGUCUGAAUAUAUAAGAUAACAGGUAUAUUUAUCCUAAAUAAGUCAAUCUGAAUGUGUGAGGCUUUAUUUAAAUGGAAAUCAAAUACCUUCUGUUGCUAGACAAUACACAUGGUUAUUCACAUACAUGAAAAAUGUAUAUGUUAUUGUAAUAGGGAUGCAUGUGUGAAUUCAUUGGAAUAUAUAUACAUUGAUGUUAUCGUUGCAUGCAUAUGAAUAUGGAGAAUACAUACCUCCUUGAGAGAUGGUUAAUUGGAUGUGGAAAGUAUUAGCAUCAUCUUCAAAUGAACCUGUAUUAGGAUCAAAUUGUGAAGCAAUUAAAAGAUAAAAAACAUCCGGAUAUAUACAGGAAGUUAGUCUUAAAGGAUCUCAAGAUUUACAAGAUUAAGCAAGGGAUCUUUAGUGUAGAAUUUUGCAUUCUGUUGAUGGCCAUCAAUGCGGAAUACUCAGAAUUUUAUAUUUUGAUUACGUAGGUGAUAAUAAUCAAACAGUAGUCUGAACUUGUUGUGAUAAAACCACAGCAUUGUUGGUUUGUGAUAUCUGCAGAACUAUGGUUGUACUAAUGGUAGAAUUUUGGCAAGCAUAAUAUUACCUUUUAGAGAAUGGUUUACAUACCUGCUUGGAAUCUUCAUUGCAGAUACUGAUAAAAAGCAGGAAUAAGAGAGAAUUAAAAUGAGAUUAUGUGAUUGUAAGAAUGAA
rnacentral:misc_RNA from 1 species